AGUGAACGCUGGCGGCAGGCCUAACACAUGCCAGUCGAACGGCAGCACAGUAAUAGCUUGCUCUUACGGGUGGCGAGUGGCGGACGGGUGAGGAAUACAUCGGAAUCUACUUUUUCGUGGGGGAUAACGUAGGGAAACUUACGCUAAUACCGCAUACGACCUACGGGUGAAAGCAGCGGAUCUUCCGCCAUUGCGCGAUUGAAUGAGCCGGUGUCGGAUUAGCUAGUUGGCGGGGUAAAGGCCCACCAAGGCGACGAUCCGUAGCUGGUCUGAGAGGAUGAUCAGCCACACUGGAACUGAGACACGGUCCAGACUCCUACGGGAGGCAGCAGUGGGGAAUAUGGGACAAGGGGCGCAAGCCUGAUCCAGCCAUACCGCGUGGGUGAAGAAGGCCUUCGGGUUGUAAAGCCCUUUUGUUGGGAAAGAAAAGCAGCAGGUUAAUACCCCGCUGUUCUGACGGUACCCAAAGAAUAAGCACCGGCUAACUUCG
rnacentral:rRNA from 1 species